rnacentral:rRNA from 33 species
UGAACCUGCGGAGGGAUCAUUA